rnacentral:rRNA from 1 species
UACAGAGGUCUCAAGCGUUGUUCGGAUUCAUUGGGCGUAAAGGGUGCGUAGGCGGCGCGGUAAGUCGGGGUGUGAAAAUCUUGGAGCUUAACUCCGAAACUGCAUUCGAUACUGCCGGUGCUUGAGGACUGGAGAGGAGACUGGAAUUUUACGGUGUAGCGGUGAAAUGCGUAGAUAUCGUAAGGAAGACCAGUGGCGAAGGCGGG